rnacentral:rRNA from 1 species
GAUGAACGCUAGCGGCAGGCUUAAUACAUGCAAGUCGUGGGGCAGCAUGAGUGUAGCAAUACAUUUGAUGGCGACCGGCAAACGGGUGCGGAACACGUACACAACCUUCCUAUAAGUGGGGAAUAGCCCAGAGAAAUUUGGAUUAAUACCCCGUAACAUAAUGAUGUGGCAUCACAUUAUUAUUAUAGCUUCGGCGCUUAUUGAUGGGUGUGCGGCUGAUUAGAUAGUUGGCGGGGGAACGGCCCACCAAGUCUACGAUCAGUAGCUGAUGGGAGAGCAGGAUCAGCCACACGGGCACUGAGACACGGGCCCGACUCCUACGGGAGGCAGCAGUAAGGAAUAUUGGUCAAUGGACGCAAGUCUGAACCAGCCAUGCCGCGUGAAGGAUUAAGGUCCUCUGGAUUGUAAACUUCUUUUAUCUGGGACGAGAAAAGGCGAUUCUUCGUCACUUGACGGUACCAGAUGAAUAAGCACCGGCUAACUCCGUGCCAGCCGCCGCGGUAACAC